rnacentral:rRNA from 1 species
CCUACGGGUGGCAGCAGUGGGGAAUAUUGGGCAAUGGAGGAAACUCUGACCCAGCAAUGCCGCGUGAAUGAAGAAGGUCUUCGGAUUGUAAAGUUCUUUAGUCAGGGAAGAAUAAAAUGACGGUACCCGAAGAAAAAGCAUCGGCUAACUCCGUGCCAGCAGCCGCGGUAAUACGGAGGAUGCGAGCGUUAUCCGGAUGUAUUGGGUUUAAAGGGUGCGCAGGCGGAAGAUCAAGUCAGCGGUAAAAUUGAGAGGCUCAACCUCUUCGAGCCGUUGAAACUGGUUUUCUUGAGUGAGUGAGAAGUAUGCGGAAUGCGUGGUGUAGCGGUGAAAUGCAUAGAUAUCACGCAGAACUCCGAUUGCGAAGGCAGCAUACCGGCGCUCAACUGACGCUCAUGCACGAAAGUGUGGGUAUCGAACAGGAUUAGAUACCCUUGUAGUC